UGGAACUUUGCCAGAUAGCUCAUGUACUUCC
rnacentral:piRNA from 1 species